UACCUAUAAGACUGGGAUAACUUCGGGAAACCGGAAGCUAAUACCGGAUAAUAUUUCGAACAGCAUGGUUAGAUAAUGAAAGGUGGUUUUGCUAUCACUUAUAGAUGGACCCGCGCCGUAUUAGCUAGUUGGUAAGGUAACGGCUUACCAAGGCGACGAUACGUAGCCGACCUGAGAGGGUGAUCGGCCACACUGGAACUGAGACACGGUCCAGACUCCUACGGGAGGCAGCAGAA
rnacentral:rRNA from 1 species